AAAUUGAAGAGUUUGAUCAUGGCUCAGAUUGAACGCUGGCGGCAGGCCUAACACAUGCAAGUCGAGCGGAAACGACAACAUUGAAUCUUCGGAGGAUUUGUUGGGCGUCGAGCGGCGGACGGGUGAGUAAUGCCUAGGAAAUUGCCUUGAUGUGGGGGAUAACCAUUGGAAACGAUGGCUAAUACCGCAUAAUGCCUUCGGGCCAAAGAGGGGGAUCU
rnacentral:rRNA from 1 species